UGUUCUUGUGAAAUUUAUUUUCUUAAUUCCUUCUCAUAUUCUUUUUGUUGUUGCAAAAUUAAUUUUAGCAUAGACAAAUAUCCUAAUCGUCCUGAGUUGGCAAAGUGUCAGCUGAUGUUGUACCAUGACUUACUUCCUUUUCUCCAGACAGUUUACUAAUACUAAUGUUUCAAUUACAAAUUUUAGACUGCUAUAUGCAGUUACUUUUCAAUCUCGACAUACUGCCGCUGAUUCUCGUAGCUGUGGGUCACACCACUGUCCGCAAUUUCGCUGUUGUGGUGUGCAGAGGUUGACAAGUUAUAUGCACCCUGUACUGUUAACUGCUCUCAUGUCUUCUGUACAUUUAUAUGAAGAUCUCUUUAUGGUAACUUGCACUAAGGACAACACACACACCCAUGCCCAAGGGAGGACUCAGGACUCGAACCUCCAACAGGGAGGGAGCCGCACGAACCGUUGCGAUGUGCCCUCGACCGCAUGGCUACCCCUCACAGCAGUAUUUGAAAAGUAUACUCUGUUGAUGGAAGGAACUGAAUGUCUAUAAAAUGGCAACUCCUCAAGAGAAGGCACAAUGUGUGUCUUGGUUUAUUCAGACAAAAUCAGAUGUUCAGACUCAACGAAACUUCAGAACGAAGUAUGGAAGAGGUCCACCAUCGCGCCCUUCAAUCCGUGCAUGUCACAAAAAAUUUAUGGAGAGAGGGACAGUGUUGGAUAAAGGGAGGAGUAGAAGACCAAGAACAUCUGAGGAAAACAUCGAUCGCGUUUUAAACGUCUUCACUCGUUCACCUACGAAGUCCAUUCGCAGUGCUGGCAGACGGUUGCAACUACCACGUUCAACUGUGCAUAAGGUCCUCCACAGGAACUUACUAUUGUAUGCUUACAAAGUGCAACUGUUGCAGACACUUGAGCAAAAUGACAAGCCAAAACGAACAGAGUUUGCACUCAACAUGCUAGUACGCCUUUCGGAGCAUGAAGCAUUUCUCAAGUGAGUUUGUUUCAGUAACAAGGCAACUUUUCAAGUUUCUGGGUCAUUAAACAGGCACAGUUUGAGAAUCUGGGGAUCUGAACACCACCAUGUGACUAGGGAGCUUCACCAGGAUAGUUCAAAAGUGAGCUUGUGGUGUGGAAUCAUGUAAAACCGAAUAAUUGGUCCAUUUUUCUUCAACGAGUCAACAAUUACUGCAGAUGUUUACUUGAACUUCUGACUGGAUAUGUAGCACCACAACUGAUUGACUUACAACCAACUGUCAUUUUCCUGCAAGAUGGUGCACCACCACAUUGGGAACUGCAUGUUCAUCGGUUCCUCAGUGAAACAUUUCCAGGCAGAUGGAUUGCGAGGACUGGACCAAUUCCUUGGCCAUCGCAUUUGCCAGAUAUCAUUCCCUUGGACUUUUUUUUAUGGGAGUAUCUAAAAGCUAUCGUGUAUCAAACACAGUUAGGGGACAUUGCUGACUUGAAGCAAAGGAUCCGUAAUGCCAUUGCCACCAGCGAUUACGCUAUGCUACAAUGAACAUGGCAAGAAAUCGAGUACUUUGUUAAUGUGCUUCAUGCAACUAAAGGCGCCCAUAUAGAGGUCUAUUAAACACUGUCAAAAAAAGCUUUUAUUAACACUGAUUACAGUAAAAGAAAUGUUGUUGAAAUAUUUCAAAAACUGCCAUUGUAAUAAAAUUUUCAAGUUUUAAA